rnacentral:tmRNA from 1 species
GGGGCUGAUUCUGGAUUCGACGGGAUUUGCGAAACCCAAGGUGCAUGCCGAGGGGCGGUUGGCCUCGUAAAAAGCCGCAAAAAAUAGUCGCAAACGACGAAAACUACGCUUUAGCAGCUUAAUAACCUGCNNCUCCCUAGCCUCCGCUCUUAGGACGGGGAUCAAGAGAGGUCAAACCCAAAAGAGAUCGCGUGGAAGCCCUGCCUGGGGUUGAAGCGUUAAAACUUAAUCAGGCUAGUUUGUUAGUGGCGUGUCCGUCCGCAGCUGGCAAGCGAAUGUAAAGACUGACUAAGCAUGUAGUACCGAGGAUGUAGGAAUUUCGGACGCGGGUUCAACUCCCGCCAGCUCCACCA